rnacentral:rRNA from 1 species
AUUGAACGCUGGCGGCAGGCUUAACACAUGCAAGUCGAGCGGGGGAAGGUAGCUUGCUACCGGACCUAGCGGCGGACGGAUGAGUAACGCUUAGGAAUCUGCCUAUUAGUGGGGGACAACAUCUCGAAAGGGAUGCUAAUACCGCAUACGUCCUACGGGAGAAAGCAGGGGAUCUUCGGACCUUGCGCUAAUAGAUGAGCCUAAGUCGGAUUAGCUAGUUGGUGGGGUAAAGGCCUACCAAGGCGACGAUCUGUAGCGGGUCUGAGAGGAUGAUCCGACACAAUGGGACUGAGACACGGCCCAGACUCCUACGGGAGGCAGCAGUGGGGAAUAUUGGACAAUGGGGGGAACCCUGAUCCAGCCAUGCCGCGUGUGUGAAGAAGGCCUUAUGGUUGUAAAGCACUUUAAGCGAGGAGGAGGCUACUUUAGUUAAUACCUAGAGAUAGUGGACGUUACUCGCAGAAUAAGCACCGGCUAACUCUGUGCCAGCCGCCGCAGUAA